rnacentral:rRNA from 1 species
GACGAACGCUGGCGGCGUGCUUAACACAUGCAAGUCGAACGGGGUAUAAGGAGAGCUUGCUCGAAAUAUACCUAGUGGCGAACGGGUGCGUAACGCGUGAACAAUCUGUCCCGGUGCGGGGGAUAACAAUCGGAAACGGUUGCUAAUACCGCAUAGGACCACAGUGUCGCAUGGCACAGGGGUGAAAGGAGCAAUCCACACCGGGGUGAGUUCGCGUCCCAUUAGCUAGUUGGUAGGGUAAUGGCCUACCAAGGCGACGAUGGGUAGCCGAUCUGAGAGGAUGACCGGCCACACUGGAACUGAGAAACGGUCCAGACUCCUACGGGAGGCAGCAGUGGGGAAUAUUGGGCAAUGGGCGAAAGCCUGACCCAGCAACGCCGCGUGAGGGAAGAAGGCUUUCGGGUCGUAAACCUCUGUCGCAGGGGACGAUAAUGACGGUACCCUGCAAGGAAGCUCCGGCUAACUACGUGCCAGCAGCCGCGGUAAUACGUAGGGAGCGAGCGUUGUCCGGAAUGACUGGGCGUAAAGGGCGCGUAGCGGUUUGGUAAGUUUGGAGUGAAAGUCCUGCUUUCAAGGUGGGAAUUGCUUUGAAAACUGCCAAGCUUGAGUAUGGGAGAGAUAGCGGAAUUCCCGGUGUAGCGGUGAAAAUGCGUAGAGAUCGGGAGGAACACCAGUGGCGAAGGCGGCUUAUCUGGACCAAAACUGACGCUGAGGCGCGAAAGCGUGGGUAGCAAACAGGAUUAGAUACCCUGGUAGUCCACGCCGUAAACGAUGGAUGCUAGGUGUAGGAGGUAUCGACCCUUUCUGUGCCGGAGUAAACACAAUAAGCAUCCCGCCUGGGGAGUACGGCCGCAAGGUUGAAACUCAAAGGAAUUGACGGGGGCCCGCACAAGCAGCGGAGCAUGUGGUUUAAUUCGAAGCAACGCGAAGAACCUUACCAGGUCUUGACAUCCAGGUAAAACCUAAGAGAUUAGGAGUGCCUUCGGGCAAUCUGAGACAGGUGGUGCAUGGUUGUCGUCAGCUCGUGUCGUGAGAUGUUGGGUUAAGUCCCGCAACGAGCGCAACCCUUGCGAUUGGUUGCUAACAGGUAAAGCUGAGAACUCCAGUAGGACUGCCGAGGACAACUCGGAGGAAGGUGGGGACGACGUCAAAUCAUCAUGCCCCUUAUGACCUGGGCUACACACGUGCUACAAUGGCUAUUACAACGAGAAGCGAAGUCGCAAGGCGGAGCGGAUCUCUUAAAAAUAGUCUCAGUUCGGAUUGUGGGCUGCAACCCGCCCACAUGAAGUCGGAGUUGCUAGUAAUCGCGAAUCAGCAUGUCGCGGUGAAUGCGUUCCCGGGCCUUGUACUCACC